rnacentral:rRNA from 1 species
AUGCAGCCAUGCCGCGUGUGUGAAGAAGGCCUUCGGGUUGUAAAGCACUUUCAGCGAGGAGGAAAGGGUGUUGUUUAAUACGCAACAUCUGUGACGUUACUCGCAGAAGAAGCACCGGCUAACUUCGUGCCAGCAGCCGCGGUAAUACGAGGGGUGCAAGCGUUAAUCGGAAUUACUGGGCGUAAAGCGUGCGUAGGUGGUUUGUUAAGCAAGAUGUGAAAGCCCCGGGCUCAACCUGGGAACUGCAUUUUGAACUGGCAAACUAGAGUAUUGUAGAGGGUAGUGGAAUUUCCAGUGUAGCGGUGAAAUGCGUAGAGAUUGGAAGGAACAUCAGUGGCGAAGGCGGCUACCUGGACAAAUACUGACACUGAGGCACGAAAGCGUGGGGAGCAAACAGGAUUAGAUACCCUGGUAGUCCACGCCGUAAACGAUGUCAACUAGCCGUCUGUGACCUUGAGUCGUGGGUGGCGCAGCUAACGCACUAAGUUGACCGCCUGGGGAGUACGGCCGCAAGGUUAAAACUCAAAUGAAUUGACGGGGGCCCGCACAAGCGGUGGAGCAUGUGGUUUAAUUCGAUGCAACGCGAAGAACCUUACCAUCCCUUGACAUCCAGAGAAGAGACUAGAGAUAGACUUGUGCCUUCGGGAACUCUGUGACAGGUGCUGCAUGGCUGUCGUCAGCUCGUGUUGUGAAAUGUUGGGUUAAGUCCCGCAACGAGCGCAACCCCUAUCCUUAUUUGCCAGCGCGUAAUGGCGGGAACUCUAAGGAGACUGCCGGUGAUAAACCGGAGGAAGGUGGGGA